rfam:Microgenomates bacterium GW2011_GWC1_39_7 TT57_C0062, whole genome shotgun sequence.
GGGCCUGUGGCGCAAUGGCGGCGCAGCCGCAUGGCAUGCGGAAGGUUAGGGGUUCAACUCCCCUCAGGUCCA